rnacentral:misc_RNA from 1 species
AAUGCAAAUUGCACUCCCUAAUAUUCCAGGGAGUAUGCAUGUUUGAGGGUCGUUAGAAUAAAAAUCAAGGCAUCGCUCUUUUUUUAAGGGUGAUCACGUUAGAAUUGAGCCAUUUUUCAAAUGUCAAUUCAUGUCAAAGUGGCUGACAUACUAUCUCAUGUAGUACGUUUGACCUGGCGUCGUCAGGAUCAUUCGUAUACGAUACUCAACUUUUGAUCUCAAAUCAAGUAAGAAUACCCGCUGAACUUAA